CCUACGGGUGGCAGCAGUGAGGAAUAUUGGUCAAUGGGCGCGAGCCUGAACCAGCCAAGUCGCGUGAGGGAAGACGGUCCUAUGGAUUGUAAACCUCUUUUGUCGGGGAGCAAUAGACGCCACGCGUGGUGUUCCGAGAGUACCCGAAGAAAAAGCAUCGGCUAACUCCGUGCCAGCAGCCGCGGUAAUACGGAGGAUGCGAGCGUUAUCCGGAUUUAUUGGGGUUAAAGGGUGCGCAGGCGGAAGAUGAAGUCAGCGGUAAAAUUGAGAGGCUCAACCUCGUCGAGCCGUUGAAACUGGGUAGCUUGAGUGAGGGAGAGGUAUGCGGAAUGCGGGGUGUAGCGGUGAAAUGCAUAGAUAUCACGCAGAACUCCGAUUGCGAAGGCAGCAUACCGGCGCUCAACUGACGUUCAUGCACGAAAGUGUGGGUAGCGAACAGGAUUAGAUACCCUGGUAGUC
rnacentral:rRNA from 1 species